GACGAACGCUGGCGGCGUGCCUAAUACAUGCAAGUCGAACGGUCUUUUCUAUGGAAGCUUGCUUCCACUGAGAAGAUAGUGGCGAACGGGUGAGUAACACGUGGGUAACCUGCCCAUAAGAGGGGGAUAACAUCCGGAAACGGGUGCUAAUACCGCAUAGGUUGCUUGAUCGCAUGAUCGAGAAAGGAAAGACGGCCUUUGUGCUGCCGCCUAAGGAUGGACCGCGGCGUAUUAGUUAGUUGGUGAGGUAACGGCUCACCAAGACGAUGAUACGUAGCCGACCUGAGAGGGUGAUCGGCCACAUUGGGACUGAGACACGGCCCAAACUCCUACGGGAGGCAGCAGUAGGGAAUCUUCCGCAAUGGACGAAAGUCUGACGGAGCAACGCCGCGUGAGUGAAGAAGGUUUUCGGAUCGUAAAACUCUGUUGUCAGAGAAGAACAAGUCGGAGAGUAACUGCUCCGGCCUUGACGGUAUCUGACCAGAAAGCCACGGCUAACUACGUGCCAGCCGCCGCAGUAACAC
rnacentral:rRNA from 1 species